UGGAGUUGUCCAUCCCUCUAGCUUGGAAGUGACGGACGCCAAGUGCUCUACCAAAGCAGAAAGCGAGCGACAGGGAGAGAACAAACGAACUUACUCUGCCCUUCAAAUUUCCGUAUGAUGGUCCCCAGGAAGGUGUUUUGCGGUGCCACAUGCCCCCUGCGAACAGGCAUGUUGCCCCGGGUCUUCGCCGAGCGCUCCGAGCUCAGAGUUCUCCCGGGAUGUCUCCCGGGCUAGAGCCCAGGCCGGCGCGCAAGCCGCUCUUUGUGGCAGCGCAUCUUCUUUGGGGAGCAGAAAUCUCUUCCCAUUAGCACCACUUCGAGACACCCGCGUUCUCCGCCGAAGUCCAAUCCAUCCCGCUCACCUUCCGGAGGGGGCCUCGCACCGGCCUGCGUCGAAUGCAGCUGUGCUUGCAAGAACCAUUCCUGGUUUCAGAAGCUAAAAAUGUAUGGAGCUAUCCGUGGUGCUGAUUCUUAGACUGCCAUUAGUGAGUAUUCAUUGAGGAUGCCAACCAAUGACAGUGGAACUGCAAACUCAGUCAAGUGGCUGUUAAGACACAAAACCCUGAUCUUAGUCACCAAAUGCCUAGAAAAACACAAGUUGCUAUUUUUGAGACAUUUCUUAAACACCUUCCCAUUUUACUUAGCUUUUAAACUAAACUCAAGUUCACAUUACCCACCAAAUCAAGGACUCCAGAGGAGAAAAGAAUACAGUGUGUGGAUUGUAAGUUUUCCGUAUAAAGUUUCAUUGCCUAUAAGGUUUCGUGACACAAUAAUACAAGAGCAAAUUAUAACAAAGCAACAUGGCUGGCUAAUACAUUUUAAAUGACUUGCCAGCUCAGAAAAUGAGAACCACUUUAAGGUAAUAACCAUUCCCAUUGUAUUUUGUAAAAACA
rnacentral:lncRNA from 1 species